UACGUAGGGGGCAAGCGUUAUCCGGAUUUACUGGGUGUAAAGGGAGCGUAGACGGCAGGGCGAGUCUGGAGUGAAAGGCAGGGGCCCAACCCCUGGACUGCUCUGGAAACUGUCCGGCUGGAGUGCAGGAGAGGUAAGUGGAAUUCCUAGUGUAGCGGUGAAAUGCGUAGAUAUUAGGAGGAACACCAGUGGCGAAGGCGGCUUACUGGACUGUAACUGGCGUUGAGGCUCGAAAGCGUGGGGAGCAAACAGG
rnacentral:rRNA from 1 species